rnacentral:rRNA from 1 species
UACGUAGGGUGCAAGCGUUAAUCGGAAUUACUGGGCGUAAAGCGUGCGCAGGCGGUUGUGCAAGACCGAUGUGAAAUCCCCGGGCUUAACCUGGGAAUGGCAUUGGUGACUGCACGGCUAGAGUGUGUCAGAGGGGGGUAGAAUUCCACGUGUAGCAGUGAAAUGCGUAGAUAUGCGGAGGAACACCGAUGGCGAAGGCAAUCCCCUGGACCUGUACUGACGCUCAUGCACGAAAGCGUGGGGAGCAAACAGG